rnacentral:sRNA from 1 species
UGCUUUCCACCUUGGACACGUGCUGUGC